rnacentral:lncRNA from 1 species
AUGUGUGGUGAUGAGGCUGACUGCCUCAACGAAGAUGGCACUUACUUAUGUCGCUGUAAAAAAGAGUACGAAGAUCGCUCUCCGACAAAAUCUGGCACGCUGUGUGUCCGCAUUCCACAAUCAGGUAUUGGUGGUUUGUUCAGCUACCUGGAAAUUCUAGUCGGUACUACAGUAUUCUUCAUCUUCAUCCUCGUGGUGGUGGCAAGCAGUCUGUGCGCAAUACUCAGGAAAAGAUCCACAAAGAAGGUUUGUAUUGAGGAGCCGGUUUCAAGUGGAACACCUUCAGCACAGUCUCAGCUGCCUGUAUCUUCUAUCGAUCUGAAUAACCUUGGUGACCACCUGAUCCUAGAUCCCUUCCGGCCAAAGCUCAGAGCCAAGCCCCCAGAAUGGACAUCACAAGUGCGAGCCCACCCAAAUGAGACUUAUAGAAUCUCCUUUGAGCAAUCUGAAUGUUUGUAAAGCAAACCUAUGCUGAAAGUUUUUGAGUUUUUUCUACUGAUGGCCUCUUUACCAUUCAUGAACUGAAAUGGCCUAUUCCUUUCAACAGAACUGGAACAAUCCUGGAUCUCCUACACUUGUUUCUGUUGGCUGAAGUGAACAGUGCUGUGGCUCAAAAGAUUUAUUUUGGUUCUUGGUUGGAUUCUUGACCUCUAUACUGUCUGUAGGUUUCAUAUCACUGAUUCUUUGUAACUGGAAGGAGUUGUUUCUGCAAACAGCUGGCCUGUAAAUAAAGCUGGUAUCUCACUCUGCA